ensembl:lncRNA
UGAACAUUCGCAUCCACACCAGUCUUAGUGUGGACAUACCCUUUCAUUUCUCGCAGGUUCUCCAGCUGCAGCCCUGGAAAUGAAACUGAUAGAAGACAAAUCAACAAGAGAAAAAGAAACAGAUUUAUUAACACGCAGUACGCACACACGGGAGAAACUCAGUGAUGAGCAACUCAAAGGAGUGGCUGGAACUGGGGCUCACACAGCGUCUCCCCGAAGAAAGAAAUUUGAAGAGAAGUGUCAAGACUAAGGAAAAGGAGGUUAGGCUUUUAGGGGCAGCGGGCUGUGGGAAGGAAAAUACAUGGGGGAGACUAAUGGAAGAUAAGGAUUCACUUGAUAAGUCUUGUUAUGCUGACGGCUCUGGGCCAUCUCUGGGCUGAGGACUCUGCAGUUGUCUCAGGUGACUAAGUCUGAGGCUGCUUUUAGGCAAAUGAGGGGGAAGACAGAGAGUGGGGUUUUUUGGCAUUUACUGAUUCUUAAUUGUCUCCAGUUCCAAAUAACCCUUACAUGCUGAGUGGCAUAUUUGGGGGUGGCGUAUUCUGACCUCCUGCAGGACCGUUUUACGUUCCCACCAGCGGUAGGUGAGAGUUCUUUCUGCUCCGCAUUCCAACAGUACGGAUAGUCAGUCUUUUUCAUUUGUACCAUGCGAAUAGGUGUGCAGUGGUAUCUCACUGUGGUUUUCAUUUGCGUUCCCCUGAUGACCUGUGAGGUUGAACAUCUUGUCACGUGCUUAGUUGGCAUCUGUUUAUCUUUGGUGAAUUGUCCCUUCAAACUUUUUAUCCAUUUUUUAAUUCGCUUGUUUGCCUUCUUAUUAUUGAAUUGCACGAGUUCUUUACAUAUUGUAGAGACAAGUCUUUUGAUGGAUAUAUAUUUGCACAUAUUGCCUCCAAGUCUCUGACUUGCCUCUUAUUUUUUGUCACGAUGUCUUUUAAAGAGCAACAGUUUUAAAUUUUGAUAACGUCCCAUUGUCCCAUUGGUUGACCUUUUUCUUUUAUAUUUUGUGUUUUGGGUUGUAUUUGAGAAAUCUUGGUCAACUCCAAGGUCACUGAGAUCUUCUUUCGUAAUUUAUUCCAUAUGUUUUACAGGUUUAGCUCUUUCAUUGAGGUCUAUAAUCCAUUUCUGGGCCAAGUCUUGAAAGAUGAAUAGCUUGACAGAGGUGUGAAAGAGGGCAAGCUAGGCAGGCGGGGCCAGGUGAGCAAAGGCCCAGAGGGGAGUGUGCCUUGAUAGUUGGGUGUGAGGGAGAAAGUGAGGUGAGAUCCUCCUGCUGGCGAGGUGGCCAGGGCCAAGGGCAGAGGCCUAGGUGUGCCAGGCUAAAGAGCUUGCACUUCAUCCCAAGGGCGGUGGGGAGCUAUUGAAGGUUGUUGAGCAGAGGCGUGGUGCAGUCACCUCAGUUACCCUUAGCAAAAUCAAGGGCAGGAGGAGGAGUAAAGGAGAUAAGGAAUGGAAAGACGUUCCAUCAGGGCUGGCUCUCGUCUGUUCUUCUGUGGGAGAGCCCCUAGCCCUCCCGGGAGGCUCAAGAUAAGCCUCCUGUGUUAAAUGCUGACAUUUCCCGGUGACUGCUUGCCUUGCUGCUUUGGGGAGCUCUUUUAUCAGAAAUGUUCAUCUUUUGCCUGUUACAUGUGUGGCGAACAUUUUCUCCCCGUCUGUCGCUGAGGUAUCAUCCUUGUCUGUGGGAUCUCUGGCAACCCAGAAAGCGUCAGUGUUUGCAGGCUGGUCUGAUGCUGCGUUUCAGGAUUUGGGCCUGUCUGCCUUGCUGAGGAAGGUCUGUGCUCCGUUCAGGCUGCGCGGCACCCCGGGGCCCCCUGCCCUGCUGGGUCAAAGGCAGGCCCUCUUGGGUCUGUGUGGGGUGUGGGUGUGGGCAGGACCCCCUGUGUGACCUUGUUUACCUGCUGCCCCCUGCCUGAGGAAACCCAGAUGGGUCUCCUGAGUCUCUGGGAACACCGUCCAGCUGAGGCAAGAGACCCGCCCUGCUCCCGGGGCUCAGCUGGGGCCUCGCCUCUGUUUUUCACCCUUAGGACCUUGGGAGCUGCGGCCCGGGCCCCCUCCCUACAGCCCAAACCACUUCUGCCUUCCUGGCAGGCGGGCGGGUGGGCGGUGCCUGCGGAGUGCUGAGUCCAGAUUUCCCCGUUUCCCGCUGCAGCUGCAUUUCUGCUGUGUCACGGUUGGGAGGGGGGACUCGCCGAGACAAGGAGAAGGAGGAAUUUGCUGAGUCACCGGCCACUUCCUCAGCCUCCCUCUGGGUGGUCGGUGAAAGGGCAGUUUCACAGCGGGCCUGAGGAAGUGAAACUUCUGGAAAAGGCCAGAAGACUCCUGUUUACCUCCAAGUCUGCACACUGUUUGCAAAGCCCGGUCCCAUACAUCUUUUAAAAUGGAUUUGUCCAAGGCCACGCUGCCCAGCUGCCCCCAUGGCGUAACUGGCGACUCCACCUUCCCGGGUGGAAAACUGUGGAGUUCUUCUUGACUCUUCUUUUUUCUCAUAUCCCACUUCCUAUUCUUCUGAAACUCUUGAUGGCUCUGCCUUUAAAAUAGGGGUGUUUUAGGCCACUUCUAGCCCCGUCCUGCCCAAGCCACCAUCACCUCUCUGCUGGAUUACUCCAGUGGCUGCCCUCUGCCCUUGGCCUUCUGCAGUCCAGCCUCACCCUCAGCAACCACAGUGACUGACCCCACAGGAACCCAGGAGAUGCCGGGCACUGCUCC